CCUACGGGAGGCAGCAGUGGGGAAUAUUGCACAAUGGGCGAAAGCCUGAUGCAGCAACGCCGCGUGAGUGAUGAAGGCCUUCGGGUGGUAAAGCUCUGUCGUCAAGGAAGAGAAUGACGGUACUUGAGGAGGAAGCCACGGCGAACGACGUGCCAGCAGCCGCGGUAAUACGUAGGGGGCGAGCGUUAUCCGGAAUGACUGGGCGUAAGGGGUGCGUAGGUGGUUUCUUAAGUCAGAGGUGAAAGGCUCCGGCUCAACCGUAGGUCGCCUUUGAAACGGGGGAACUUGAGUGCAGGAGAGGUUAGUGGAAUUCCUAGUGUAGCGGUGCAAUGCGUAGAUAUUAGGUGGAACACCAGUUGCGACGGCGUCUCUCUGGACUUUAACUGACACUGAGGCACGAAAGCGUGGGGAGCAAACAGGAUUAGAUACCCUUGUAGUC
rnacentral:rRNA from 1 species